AUGCGCCGCCUAAGAAGACGCUUCAUUAAAUUGAGAAGAUUGAGCGCGACUUCUUGUGGGCCGGCCGCGCCGCCGCCAAUGGAGGCCACUGCCAUGUCAACUGGCGCUGCAUUUGCCGCCCCAUAUCGUACGGAGGCCUGGGUGUCCAAGACCUGGAGCGCGCUGGCCUUGCUCUACGGCUACGAUGGCUAUGGUUCUCGCGCACUGACCAUGAGCGCGCCUGGAAUGGCCUGGACCUACAAUUCUCUGCCGAGGAGCGAGCACUCUUCUUCGCGUCCACCACGAUGA
rnacentral:rRNA from 1 species